rnacentral:lncRNA from 1 species
GAUUGGCUUUCCUCUUCUCCGCUGUCUCAAAAGGAGAUGAUGCAACUCGCCGAGGAGCUUUCGAGGGAGCGGAUUGCGUCAGGCGGCCCUCGCCUCGGGCGCAGCUUGGUGGGGAGAAGGCGGCAAAGGAUUCCCAAUGGUGCACCUGCCACUGCAACCUGAGCCCAUCCAUCUUGCUGCUGGCUGUCCUCUUCUUUGCUUUCAUCAGUG